rnacentral:rRNA from 1 species
AGAGUGAACGCUGGCGGCAGGCCUAACACAUGCAAGUCGAACGGCAGCACAGCCGGAGCAAUCCGGUGGGUGGCGAGUGGCGGACGGGUGAGGAAUACAUCGGAACCUACCUUGUCGUGGGGGGAUAACGUAGGGAAACUUACGCUAAUACCGCAUACGAACUAUGGUUGAAAGCGGCGGACCGCAAGGCGUCGCGCGAUUGGAUGAGCCGAUGUCCGAUUAGCUAGUUGGCGGGGUAAAGGCCCACCAAGGCGACGAUCGGUAGCUGGUCUGAGAGGAUGAUCAGCCACACUGGAACUGAGACACGGUCCAGACUCCUACGGGAGGCAGCAGUGGGGAAUAUUGGACAUUGGGCGCAAGCCUGAUCCAGCCAUGCCGCGUGUGUGAAGAAGGCCUUCGGUUGUAAGCACUUUUGUUAGGGAAGAAAGACGAACUUGGGUUAAUACCCGUGGUGUUCGUGAACGGUACCCAAAGAAUAAGACACCGACUAAC